rnacentral:rRNA from 1 species
CAGCAGCCGCGGGAAUACGAAGGGGGCUAACGUUGUUCGGAAUUACUGGGCGUAAAGGGCGCGUAGGCGGCCAUUCAAGUUAGAUGUGAGAGCCCUGGGCUCAACCUAGGAAUUGCAUUUGAUACUGUUUGGCUUGAGUUCGGGAGAGGUGAGUGGAAUUCCCAGUGUAGAGGUGAAAUUCGUAGAUAUUGGGAAGAACACCAGUGGCGAAGGCGGCUCACUGGACCGACACUGACGCUGAGGCGCGAAAGCGUGGGGAGCAAACAGGAUUAGAUACCCCUGUAGUCCCUGUCUCUUAUAC